GGAAAUGUGCCUGAACAAAGGGCCGCUUUGAUAGAGCGGACUAUGAGGACUAAAACCCCUCCACUUCCU
rnacentral:tRNA from 1 species